rnacentral:rRNA from 1 species
GAUGAACGCUGGCGGCGUGCCUAAUACAUGCAAGUCGAGCGAACAGACGAGGAGCUUGCUCCUCUGACGUUAGCGGCGGACGGGUGAGUAACACGUGGAUAACCUACCUAUAAGACUGGGAUAACUUCGGGAAACCGGAGCUAAUACCGGAUAAUAUAUUGAACCGCAUGGUUCAAUAGUGAAAGACGGUUUUGCUGUCACUUAUAGAUGGAUCCGCGCCGAAUUAGCUAGUUGGUAAGGUAACGGCUUACCAAGGCGACGAUGCGUAGCCGACCUGAGAGGGUGAUCGGCCACACUGGAACUGAGACACGGUCCAGACUCCUACGGGAGGCAGCAGUAGGGAAUCUUCCGCAAUGGGCGAAAGCCUGACGGAGCAACGCCGCGUGAGUGAUGAAGGUCUUCGGAUCGUAAAACUCUGUUAUUAGGGAAGAACAAAUGUGUAAGUAACUAUGCACGUCUUGACGGUACCUAAUCAGAAAGCCACGGCUAACUACGUG